rnacentral:rRNA from 1 species
UUAGAGUUUGAUCCUGGCUCAGGACGAACGCUGGCGGCGUGCCUAACACAUGCAAGUCGAGCGAAUGAAGUUCCUUCGGGAACGGAUUUAGCGGCGGACGGGUGAGUAACACGUGGGCAACCUGCCUCAUAGAGGGGAAUAGCCUUCCGAAAGGGAGAUUAAUACCGCAUAAGGUUGUAGUACCGCAUGGUACAGCAAUUAAAGGAGCAAUCCGCUAUGAGAUGGGCCCGCGGCGCAUUAGCUAGUUGGUGAGGUAACGGCUCACCAAGGCGACGAUGCGUAGCCGACCUGAGAGGGUGAUCGGCCACAUUGGGACUGAGACACGGCCCAGACUCCUACGGGAGGCAGCAGUGGGGAAUAUUGCACAAUGGGGGAAACCCUGAUGCAGCAACGCCGCGUGAGUGAUGACGGCCUUCGGGUUGUAAAGCUCUGUCUUCAGGGACGAAUAAUGACGGUACCCGAGGAACAAGCCACGGCUAACUACGUGCCAGCAGCCGCGGUAAUACGUAGGUGGCGAGCGUUGUCCGGAAUUACUGGGUGUAAAGGGCGUGUAGGCGGGAUGUCAAGUCAGAUGUGAAAUUCCGAGGCUUAACUUCGGGGGUGCAUCUGAAACUGAUAUUCUUGAGUGUCGGAGAGGAAAGUGGAAUUCCCAGUGUAGCGGUGAAAUGCGUAGAGAUUGGGAGGAACACCAGUGGCGAAGGCGGCUUUCUGGACGAUAACUGACGCUGAGGCGCGAAAGCGUGGGUAGCAAACAGGAUUAGAUACCCUGGUAGUCCACGCUGUAAACGAUGGAUACUAGGUGUAGGAGGUAUCGACCCCUUCUGUGCCGGAGUUAACACAAUAAGUAUCCCACCUGGGGAGUACGGCCGCAAGGCUGAAACUCAAAGGAAUUGACGGGGGCCCGCACAAGCAGUGGAGUAUGUGGUUUAAUUCGAAGCAACGCGAAGAACCUUACCAGAGCUUGACAUCCCUCUGACAGGCUUAGAGAUAAGUCUUUUCUUCGGAACAGAGGUGACAGGUGGUGCAUGGUUGUCGUCAGCUCGUGUCGUGAGAUGUUGGGUUAAGUCCCGCAACGAGCGCAACCCCUGUUGUUAGUUGCCAUCAUUAAGUUGGGCACUCUAACGAGACUGCCGGUGACAAAUCGGAGGAGGGUGGGGACGACGUCAAAUCAUCAUGCCCCUUAUGUCCUGGGCUACACACGUACUACAAUGGCGAUUACAGAGGGCAGCAACAUCGCAAGGUAGAGCAAAUCCCCAAAAGUCGCCCCAGUUCGGAUUGCAGGCUGAAACUCGCCUGCAUGAAGUCGGAAUUGCUAGUAAUGGCAGGUCAGCAUACUGCCGUGAAUACGUUCCCGGGCCUUGUACACACCGCCCGUCA